AACGAACGCUGGCGGCAGGCUUAACACAUGCAAGCCGAGCGCCUUGGCAACAAGGAGCGGCAGACGGGUGAGUAACGCGUGGGAAUCUACCCAUCUCUACGGAAUAACUCAGGGAAACUUGUGCUAAUACCGUAUACGCCCUUUGGGGGAAAGAUUUAUCGGAGAUGGAUGAGCCCGCGUUGGAUUAGCUAGUUGGUGGGGUAAAGGCCUACCAAGGCGACGAUCCAUAGCUGGUCUGAGAGGAUGAUCAGCCACAUUGGGACUGAGACACGGCCCAAACUCCUACGGGAGGCAGCAGUGGGGAAUAUUGGACAAUGGGCGCAAGCCUGAUCCAGCCAUGCCGCGUGAGUGAUGAAGGCCCUAGGGUUGUAAAGCUCUUUCGCCGGAGAAGAUAAUGACGGUAUCCGGAGAAGAAGCCCCGGCUAACUUCGUGCCAGCAGCCGCCGUAA
rnacentral:rRNA from 1 species